AACAGGUUGUGUGGGUCAGGUUUUAGGAGCCCCUGUGUGGCCUCUUUCUAUCUUUCUGAUUACCUGCAUUGGAGGAAUCUCUAACAGAUAAGACAGCAUUAUUUGUGAGCCGUUCUUCCUGGCUACCCUGGGAGGGAAGGCUGACAUUGAUACUGAGCUGCUCACUGAUUUCAUAAUCAGAGAUGACACCACUGCAAAAGUCAAGGUUGAGUAUUGCUCUUCUGUGCCUGUUACCCAGCUUGCCUGGAGAGUUCGAGAAGCUCAGCGGUCAAGAUAUGUGACUUUCAGGACAUCUCUCAUUCCCUGCUCUGAAGUCCACUUAAUGCCGCUGUCCAUGUGUUUUGACUUUGGAAGGUUUCAGUGAUAUAGUAACAGAGAAUUGACCUUUUAGAUAAAACGAGUCUCCCGAGCAAGAAACCUGAAGAAAGUCUACACAAAGCCGGCAGAUGGAAGAGCAGAGAAAGUCUUAAUAACACGGCUCAGAAGUAGCAGCAUGAAGAAUGAGACGCAGACCAAAAGCAGCCUCUGGAAGAUCUCUGGGUGUGAGCACCCCCCCACCCCCACCCCAGGAAGGACCAGAGGGAUGUGAGAGCCGCCAUCUUGGGCUGGACCACUGGGCUGUCCUGCCUCCCGCUGUGGCUUGGGGCCUAAGGAUCAUGGGUUUAGAGGUCAGAUCCUGCCAGCAAGCCCCACCCCGGAUUCUCACGGCUGAAAGCCCGGCCACUGUGUACUAGGUCACUUGUGAUGUCAUUCGGAGCCUACCGAGAUAACCAAGGACAGCCUUCUCAUCUCAAGAUCACAUCUACACAAAGGUCCCCAUUGAAGACAACAUGCACAGACUUGAAACUGGAAGGAUAUAAGCCUACAGCUGCUUGGCUCUGCUCCAUGAGGAAUCUGCCCUAAAAUGGAGCCCAUAAGAGGAAAGAAGAACCAAAAUAUGAAGGACAAAUCUAAGAUCCAAUGACCAACUUUUGACUUCCUGGAUCCAGCUGUGCCUGAAAUCAUCUCUAUCCUGGAACAUUUCAGUUGCUUGAACCACAUCACCUUUUUUUCCCCCUUAAAUUAAUGUCAGUUGGAUUUCUGUCAUUUACUAUUGGGAGAGUUCUCAUUAACA